rnacentral:misc_RNA from 1 species
UCUCAAACUGUCUGGUCUCCAACAAAUCUUUUUUUAAUUCACAUAUCCGACCACUCGGCCCUUCAGCUUGCAAAUCGAGCAAUUAAAUUAUUUUCGGCUGUUAUCAGCAUGAACAGAAUGACACGGCAACAGCAUGCCUGCAUAAUGAAUGCCCGGAAGAAGUAUGAACAAUUACAAAGGCCACGAAAGCAGUAUGUACAGUUACAAAGGCCAAGAGAGGAAAUCAGUGAUUUGAUACUUUUCACUGCUAUAUGUAUGGACAUGUUUAACAUGAAUUCAUAUGGCUUUGCUUUGAUUGGCUGAUAUGUUUCUACUGCUUUGUCCUCGCGCAGGUCAGUGGCCAAGCCUUUUCCACGGACGGAUCACCCCAGAACUGCCAGAUAUAUGGCUUUGCUUUGAUCAGAUAUAUGCUAGCUGCCAGAUAUAUGGCUAUGUUCCAAUGAGUCAAGGUGGUCGAUCUCCGAUCAGGAGAGCAGCGACGCAGGUUACGCCGUAAUAAUUGCACAGCAAGG